CAGGCAUUCGAUCAGUGGACAUUAAAAGUGUCGUUUUCGGGUAAAAAUGGUGAAACCUCUGACAGUUGCCGUUGUGCUGAGCGUAUUGUCAGGUCAGGGUUCACAAGCUUUUGACUGUUGUGAUAGUUAUACAGAUUUACUAGGCGACUAUCAUCCAUCGGUGUUAUGUCUUGACUACUGCUGUUGGACAAUAGGGGCGGCAUACAAAGGCUGCUGUAGCAAUAUAUUAAGAAUGAUUCCUUCCUCUACUAAUAAGACCGAAGAAUGUGUUCAGCACUGGAUUAUUGAGCACAGAUUGGUGCCGUUGCUGAUUUCUGUUUUUAUUUUUUGGUUCUUACAAAGUUUUUGUGAUUGCUUCACAAGGAUCCUGCGCUAUUGAUUAUAUAUACCAACAUCAUCAUCAGCAGCUGCUAUGACCAGUACUUACAACAACUAGUUUCACGAUGAGUUUGAUUAAAAGACGACAUCAAUACUUGGCUAAUAACGUAACAACAAGGAUAGACACGUAAUUCAGAUUGGAAAAUAUGAUGAACUAGUUUUAAGAGUGUAAUAUUGUAUUUUGUAUCGGAAUACUUGUAAACAGGCACAUGUUUUAAUUUUUUAUUUCACAAUCAUGUAAUUUGCAGAUUACGUAAGUAAAACAUCUGCGCCCUACAAUUAAUUUUCUGAUUCUUGCUUUUAUUUUCUUCUUUACAUCAAAGGAGAAAGCGUACCGUGCCGACGACAAUCUGCCUGACUGUUCGGGUUAAGAAAACUGUAUUUUUUUUCAAGAUUUUGGGAACAUGUGCCCUUUUAGCGACAUUUUUCCUGAAAAAUUUGGAAAUAUUCCACUUUCUUUUUAUCCGUAGGUUUUGCUGUUAAGGACGCAGUGUCUAUGGUAAUAAGUGCUUUUGAUAUUUACGUUGAGUUUAUUGUAUCCAGAUUUAUUUUUAAUUAUCAUUUUUUCUGUUUCAUUUAUAAGACACUUGUUGCUGAGUGAGCCCCUUCCUAAGUUUCAUGUUUUAUAGGUCAUUUGUUUGCCCUUAAUCAUACGUAAAUGUAAAUGUUCAGCACAAUAUACUGUAGCUCUACCGUAAAGGUAUUUUGUAUACAUAUGUAUAAUACAUAAUUCAUUAUGUGAAAAGUGUCUAUGAUAUGUGUAUGUAGGUUUAGGUUUUUUAAUGUUUUUACUUUACCUAAUUGACCACCUAACAUAUAACCAGUUCAGAUGUAGAUAGAACCCAGUCAAAAAUCGUUAACUAGGGAAUGAUUUUCAAUAAAUAUCAUGACAAUACGCACCACGAAGAUUACAUAUAUGGCAAUAGGUGUACUAAAUAUUAAUUCAAAAAUAAACAAGCAAAGAAACUGGGCUUUAUGUCGUACAUUGUAAGUACUAGGAUCUCUUAGUCAGAAAAUAAAAAAAAAACCUAUUGCUUAAAAUCAUCUAAGAAAAAAAACUUGAAAGGUCAAAAUGUAAGGUGUUACAGAAGAAUGGUUUCUAAAUCUUGAUGUCAAAACAUUUUUAAAUGUUUUAUAUUUCUGUCGUGAUUUAGCAAUAGUAUUUUACAAAUGGCAAAAAUGCUUUUAUUUAAGAUGAAAAUACUUCAGAAUUCACAGAUUUAUUAUGUUCAUUUGCUGUGUUUGAAGGCCUCAUAGUAAAUAAGAUGUUAGAUUACGGUUUUCUAUAUGUCCUGUCAUUUCCAUAUUUCUCAUAAAAAUACGUGAAAAUCGUCAUCAGUCUCUGGAGUUACACAUUAUACAGCGCAAAUAAGAUUUACUGAAGUUAAAUUAGCUUUAUAUCUACAAAAAGGGGAAACUGAUUUUUUAUGCAGACGGGAGAUGCGAAUAGUUACACUUAUAUUCUUCCUGAUUAUAUUGAACUGGAUGUUGUUGUUGUUUACUAUCAUUAAACUUCCUUGAUUUUGAUGAGGAAACGAUAAACUUUUAACCAAAUUCACAUACUUGUGGAUUUAAACAUUUUUCGUGUCAAGAAUACUUCCAGAUCAUAAGCUUAAAUGUAUAGCUACAGUCUAAUAUACAUAACCUACCUUUUCUAUGUUGUUGUUGUUGUUGUUUUAGUAGACACAAUAUUUAAUAGAUAGAUAAUAUUUACCACGAAAUGGAUAAAAACCGCUGGGUUAUUUUGGUUUCACAAGCGAAUACUUCCCGCUGUCCGUGUAUAAAAAUAUUAGCAAUGUUAUCAUCCAUUUUAUAUAUUACUGUAAUUUUGCAUUUUUAGUUUUGAUUGAACAGUAUAAAGAUAAACUAUGAUAAAAUUCCAUUGCUUGUGGCGGUUUAUAUACCCCGCCUAUGUGCUUUUCAAUCAGUUUUAAAUUGGAUAUUCUAGUCAUUUAGGUUAGAUUAAUUUCUGUGUUCUUUAAUUCGUCAUUUGAUAAAAUAAAUGACCUUUACGCAUAUA